GUCGGUGGCCUAUCAAUUAUAUUUAAUAUAUCAAUAGAGCAUGAUGUUCUGCAACCAUUGCAAAAGUUCAAUAAAAAUCUAUUGUGUGCGAUUGCUUUAAAUUUGACAUGUUAUGCAUAGGCUUACUAAAGGCAGAUAAAAUAAACAAAGAUCGUGCAUUGUAGUUGAAAGUCAAUUUCAAAUUCACUGGUGUCAAUAACUCACUUUAUAGCUGUGCAGUCCAUCAAUAAAAUUCAGCAUUUUGAUUUGUUCUUGAACGGUCGGAAACCAACAAUACAGUAUAUACAGACCGCU